GGAAAAAUGUUGGCUGAGCACUUCAGUAUUCAAUAUUUACGGAAUCUGAUUUAUAUUUUUAUUAAAAUCUAUUAUAUAUCUUAUACUGCAACAGGGGGGUUUGGGGAGCCAAUUUAAUCGUGUGUAAUUACUUAUAUACCCCUCGAGAACCCUUCGUCCUUGUCUGAUUGUUUCUGACUCUUCACUUCCCCUUGCAUGCUCAUCACCCCAGAUCUCGGUUUUUUUGUGCAUCUUUACCACGUGCGUUUCUCUGUAGCUUCGGUUGUUCAAACCAGCUCUCUUCGCGUCAUCGUGCUCCCUUCCCUCCAUGUCGUCUACUGCAACAUCACUUUUGGUGAGCCAGUUAAUUGGUGUGAAAAUACAAUCUUACCCCUCUUAUUUGCUCUAUUUAUCAUAUUUACGUAUAUCGCUCGAGCCCGGCCCCUUCUUCUUCCCUAGACCACUCUGCAAAGAGUUCUUGGACUUCGGAUGGCCUGCUUCUAUUUUUCAUCGACUUUUCCUUCUUGGGAUUGCAUAUUUAUGAUCUUGUUUUACUUGUCCAAAAGAAGGUGGACCUGACAAAGUCGGUGUUGAAACAAUAAAAAAGAAGCUUUAAAUUUUUUGUACAGAAUUGUAUGUAUGAUUAUCCCAAGUAUGAUGCUCCAUUUAGGGAAGGCGACAAGUUCUACUAUUUCAAUUACACCGGUCUUCAACAUCAACAGGUCCUCUAUAUGCAGGUACAUCAAUUUUUUAAUGCUAGCAUCUAUCUAUGCAUGCGUGCUCCAAAUACACCUAUCUACCUGUUUAAUUUGGUACUUGACAUUUAUCUUGAAUCCUGAAUGCUAUUUAGUAUUUUUUUUCAUUUACUAUAUAGCAAUAUUUAUGAUUCUUGAUUAUAUUAUCCUUGAUUUUGCCAUAGCUCCUUUUUAUUAAAUAUGGAGUGCCACACUGUUUGAUGAAAUGCUUGAAUGACUUAUUCUUUAUGGUGGAGUAAAAUUGCUAGAGAAACUGAUCCAGUUUGAAAAUCGGGAAUGUUUGCUGAAAUGGCAUUGUGCAAAGAAGAUCAAAGGUUACUCAAGCAAUACAAUGAUCGAGAUUCGGUUGUUGAUAGUGGAAACGUUUAUAACGUUCAAGCAGAGGUGGUUAAGAUUUGCGAAAGUCGGGAUCGUAUUAUUCUUCUUGUUACAAGAUUGUUGGAUAGGGGCAUAGUCUUAACUCGAAUUAAUACACACGUCAGAUAUUAGGCACAUAAUUAAGCGCUUCUGUAUUUUUUUUUCUGUAUCUAAGCUCUGCAGGUGUUUUUGCUGGGCUUAAUGUAGAGUGCAGAUUGGUUAAAUCGACACAAUCAUAUAUGAAAUGAUGAAAUGUUACUGAGUGUUUUUUCUACAUGUUGAAAGAUUAGUAUACUUACUCCGUAAUUAUUAGAACUGAGUGGAUUUUAUAUGGCUCUUAUACUUUUUAUUGUUAUUAAAUUUCCUUAUGAUUUGCAAAAUGCUUAUGCUACUGGAGCUGCCGGGAAAAUCUGAUUGACAUAGUGUAAAUAUAUAGGCCAAUAUAUCUGCUGAAUAUAAAAUUUUACAUGCAUUUAUGAACUAGCUUGCUACCUACUUUCUUAGCAGUCGACCUAUGGGGAAAAGCGAUAGUUUAUGGGUAAGCAUCCAACCCACCUUGAUUGUUAUGGGGGAGGCGAGGCCAUGUGAAUUUGAUGGCCCCGUUAUAGGUCCACAAUCCUAGAUUUAGUCUGUAUAGAAAGCAAAAUCAGUUCCUUGGUAGGAGGCUUUUAUAAUACUUACUGAACAGUGCACGCUUAGAACUUAAGUGAUAACCUAAACUUCAUUGCACUCCAUUAAGUGGUUCUGAUCAAAUUCCAAUGAGGACAGAUGUAUCAACCUUCAAAAUUCAUAUUCUCGUGUCCAAGUACCAAACUAUUUUUCUUUUCUUCCGUAUCUCCUUUUAAGUCCCAAAAAUAAAAUCAUAAGAUGGUAGAAAGAUUCCAAAAUCAUCAAGAGCUUGGGCAUAGCUCUGAUUCGUUACUGUUAUAUAUAGCUCAAGAUGCAAUUAUACUAUUCUACUCAAAUCUUCUAUAGUGUAACUUGAUUAACAUCAAUGCUUCCUGUGGUAAAGAAUUCUAUGUAUUUAGGUCGUCCUAAAUGCGCCGGGUCUCCUUUAUUGUCUGAAGUAAACAUUGUUUUCUCACUACUGCAGAUACGCGAUACUAGCGUGAUUUUCAGGUUGCUCUGCUUUGGAGGACUUAAGAAGACCCUAAACCUGAAUACAAAAGAGCGGAAAAGAUUUGAAGUUUAUGCGUGUGCGAUGGCUGAAAGAAAUCAUACAUUAGAAAUCUGGCGAUUGCUUGACCCAGAAGCACACCUAAUUGAUCAUAAGAAACUAUAUAUCAGCUCAUAUUGUAUCCUUUAACUCAGGUUAUAGGAAGCCUUUGCACAGGGUCUUCCAAGAUCAAAAGUUCCAUCGAGAGAGGUAAAGGUCAUCGAUGAUCAUUUAAAAGUUUGGGAAGACAUAGAUCAACCUCGAGUUCAAGUUGUUCCAGCAUUUCUUCCGUAUUGUGCUCCUCUGGCAGAGUUUGUAGACUAUUUUACGAAGAUGAGGUCAAAAAUCUGCCAUUGCCGUGUGAUGUCAGCACCUACUUGAUUCCACAGCCACGUAGAUCGAGCUAGAAAGCCACGUCAGAUCUGUUAUAUCUCAGGUAGUGAGUUCUCUGGGAUGAAUUUGGGUGCUGGUGCUUAUAUAAAAAGAGGACAAGGAAAGUGAUAUAUAAAAAAUCAAAGGGGUUUUUCAGAGGCGUGCCUGAUUCUUUUUCUUUUUGCCAAUUUUCUCACAUGAUUCUUCUAUUUAUGUUUUUCCUUGGUCUUUAUAUCAUGAUUAUCAUCUAUACAAUGAUAACUAAUUAUUAGGUCGCUUAUCUUUGUUAGUAUAGUUGAGACAAGGUUUUCUUACAAGUGAGGGGGUCAUAUAUAAUCAAGAUAAUACUCUCUCUGUCCCCCUAGGUUAUUUACCUUGGGGGACGGGCGCUUGACACACAUUUUAAGGCUCCAGUGAAGUGUAGUUUCACAAAUUACUUUACACUUUAUUUCUUCUGAAUAAAGUUUAAUGUUUAAAUAUUUACAUAAAAAAGGAAAAUUUAAAAAAUAAAUUAUGGAACUAUGUUUUCUAUGUGCCUUAAAAUGUGUGCCAAGCAAUGUAAGAAAACUGCAAAGAAAUGAGAGGGACAGAGAGAGCAGAAUAAUAAAAACUUAAAAAGUUAGUUUCACUUCACUUUUCUAUUGAACUUUAUUUGUCUAUUAUCGACAUUUGGCAUAUGCUUAUGUAUAGAUUGACAAGGUCAGUUUAUUUGUAGAAACUAUUUCACAAGUAAACAACUAAAUGUUUCUGCCGCUGAAACCAACAAAGAACCCCUCAUUUGCGACAAUACCGAUGAAGUCUAAACAUUGUUAAGGCUGAGAUAUCAACUUUUAAAAAGCGGGAGAGUAUGAUUUUGUGUUGACAGGGAGCAAAGAUAAUGGUAAUUCCAGGGAACAUCAGUUUAUAAUAAUAUACAUUUCGUUAAGUUUAAGCUCAAUCUUAGAACUGUAGAUUUCACUAUCCACUGAAUAUAUUUCAUAAACACCAAGGGCCCAAGAUUUGUUUAUUAGGAAUUUAAGCUCAUCUACAUGAGAAUGUAAUCUUGACUGGGUUGAAAAAUGCAAUAUAUUAUGAUGUUCAUAUUGAAGCGACUUGGCACGUCUUAUAGCCAAGAUGUUGCAUGUACAUCUCGUCCUAUUCAAAUAAUAAAAAAUAAUAAAAUGACUGUGUUUUAGGCUCUCUGAGGCUUUUCAUUUCUAGAAUAUAAACUUAUGUAACGUGUAUCCUUCUUUCAUGUCGCUAUACUAUUUAAACGUUAUAAUAAGCAUAGCAUUUUUCAGAUGGGUGAUGUGGCAGAGGACCUGAUAUGAGGGCGACUUUAGAGUUUAGAUGCCAUCAUGGUCAAAUUGCAAAGCCAUCCAAGUAGUAGUAGCUGAAGGCAUAAAGGGUCUUGUCAAAGAACUCGGCAACAUGUUUGUGGAGCUGGAGCUGCAAUUUUAAUUUCCAAUCUGGCUUGCCCAGCUUGAUUGAUGAAUUACAGGUCCGCUUAGGGCCGUAUCUACAAAGCCAUGCAUAGCAGGAGUUUAAGGCGUAUCAAAUACAUGAUGCGGGUCUUCUAAAUUUGAAAGAAAUUAUCUCCCCCUCCCCUCUCAUUAAGGCAGCCAGAUGAACAGUUUUGUUUCCUGAGGCUGACCAUGCAUCAAGAACCUUAGGAGGAAAAAAGAAAUUUGAUUAAACCAUCAUAGGCCUCUGUAGACAAUAGAAUAAAGAUAACUCACAAGUCAUGACUGAUACAAGUCCAACUCACCUCCCUGGUCUAAGAUCAAGGGCUACUGCCACCAUAGAACUUGCCUUGCCCUAAAGGAUGAUUCCAUUUUUCACAAAAUGAUGAUCAUGCAAAUCUGUACCAGGUGGAAGUACUAACAAAUCAGUAACCAAGACAUCCUUGUGAACCUGUUGAGCAAGAGAACGAUUUAAAAGACAAGCAAUGACAUACAUAUUUUCUUUUUGUGCCUCUUCCUGUGCUCUAGACAUGACUAUGUAGGCUGUGCGUCCACACACGGUUUUACUAAAUGAAAAGUUUUAGUUCAAGUCGAAUCAAAAUGUUAACGAUUAAAGUUUGAGAGGUUUUAGCUCAUGCGACUGUGAUACUGCCCUGUCACCUGUGUGUGGCUCGGCUUAGGCAGAUGCAAAUUGAUUGUGAUGCCUUCGCAACUGUCAGAAGCUAAUGAAAUCUGUAAGGCUAUUUUAGACUUCUAAAGAGGGAGACAUUCUGCGGUCCAUGCUUUUUGUUACAUAAGCUUUUAUAUGAAGUGCCUAGCAUUUCUUGUUACCUACAUCGGACAACAUAAUCUGCUGCAUAGUCUGGUAAAUUCAGGGUGAAACUACUACUCUCUCUUUCUCAUUCAUUUCUAUACGGUGACAUUGAAGAAAGAUCAGAAACAGUAUUGGCUAUACAAAGACUAGCCUUACAGGUUUAUAGCAUCCAAAGAAUUUGCUGAGGCUCUCCGAUCAUUUUAUGUCUGGAAACAUGUUAAGAAUGGUCUUCCAACCUCAUUUGACAAAGCUAAAAACCCAUCCUGCUGCUUUUACCAUCCAAAAAUAUGGUAUUAACAAGACGGAACUUAUGAAAGCCUUGACUGCAAGAGAAAUUUUGCUUAUGAAGAGAAACUCAUUUGUUUACAUAUAUAAAUUGUUUAAAGUGCGUUUUCAAUAUUCUAUUUUUUUGGACAGAUCUCUAUGUCUAAAUAUAUGUGUUAACUUUUAAAGAUAUCGGUAAUAUUGAUUGUGGCAUUUUUGUGACAAACAAUGUAUACUUGUAAAAAAAAAUUCCUGCUUAUGAUGAUGGUUGUAGUCA